GAUGUCUUAGCUCAGCUGGUAGAGCGCAUAGCUUUUAACCAUGUGGUUGUGGGUUCAAUUCCCACAGACAGCU